UCAUAAAUAUAUCUUUUUAAUUUCAUUUUAGGUUUUCUUGCUGAAUUACUCUUCUCCUUCGUCUUGAACUUGGGUAGAGCAAAAGGGAUUCCACAACAUAAUCAAUGCCUCAUGGCCGCCGUGGCCUGUGAACUCCGGUUUGGUUUGAGGAGGCAACAUACCGUUGAGUACUGGAUCUGAAAUGGCUGACGCAUUUUUUAAGCCCUUCUUUUCAUCUUUGAAUUUUAAUACUCAUGGCCAUAACAUGAGUACUGAUCGGGUUGAUUGUCAAUUGCAGGUUGUGUUGGUUUUGGUAUUGGCUAGAAGUUCUCCAUAGUAAGCUAUUUGGAGGGGACAACGGUUCUUAAGGAUCUAAUUCAGAAGGAUAACAUUACUAUAAGGCUUUAUCUCAAUGGUAUUGGCUUACAACCCAUGUCAAUUUUACCCAGAGAAUGCAAUGAUAGCAAAGAAUAUUUUUUACUGAUUUAGAUGCUGAGAGGGAAGAUCUGAAAGGGUGAAUUUCAAAAUACUCUUGUUAAAAUGAGAGUUGAGAUAGUUGUUCCACUUCACUUUCUUUUAAAUAAUGGGAGUUGAGAUCGUUGUUCCCGUUCACUUUUAAAUAAUUUACUAUAGUAUCGUUUGUAAUUGUACUUGAAACCCAUUCAGUUUCAUUCUUUCAAUACGUGUUUUAGUUUUAUUAUUUCUGGAAUUAUGUGAUUAUACUAUCAAGCUUCUGUAUUCAAUUCUUAAGUUUUUAUAUUUAUAUUCAACAUUUUUUA